rnacentral:misc_RNA from 1 species
AAGUCGUAACAAGGUUUCCGUAGGUGAACCUGCGGAAGGAUCAUUACUGAAUUGUAAACAAGGGUUGUUGCUGGUCCUCAAAUGGGGGACAUGUGCACGCUCUGUUCACACAUCCAAUCACACCUGUGCACCCUCUGCAGUUCCGUGGUCAGGGGGGCUUUGCCUUCCUGUGCUGUGGUUCUGCUUCUUUACACACACACACUGUAACAAAGUCUUGUGGAAUGUAUGCCGCGUUUAACGCAAUACAAUACAACUUUCAGCAACGGAUCUCUUGGCUCUC